AACAAAAAAACCGAGAUUCUUUUACGUUUCAAAACCCCGUAAGUCGUUUGGACUAGUUCUACUUAGAAAUAAUUUAAAAAUUUUGUAAAAACUAUUUUGAUAAGUGAAAAAUUGAAAUAAUGUAAUUAACAAAUGUUUUAAGAGAUAUAAAUUAAGAUAUAACAAAAGUUAAUUGUUUUCAACAUAGAUGAGUGAAAGUAGUGAGUCAUGAUAUUCUUUGGUUUAGGUUUUUGCAACAUAUGUUGUACUAUUGUAUGUGUUCUUAGGGUUAGAUUUUGAAAUGCAUAAAUAUUUUUUGAAAACUUUAAAAUUUACCUAAGUGUGUUUAUUUCUGUGU
rnacentral:lncRNA from 1 species